UAUAUGAUUUUGAGGAAGAAAGCCUUGUGGAGGAUUUUGGCAACUUGUGCCUAUCUCAAUCUAGUUCAUAUGUUGAUGAGGAUUAGGUGAAAGGAAGUUAUUUUAAGUUGUUGCCUUUCAUUAAAUUUGGUGGAACUAAAGGAGAGUUACAUGUGGUGACCUUUUUGCUUGAAAGUGCUCUAAUUUUGGAGAGGUUGGUCAUAUCUUGUUCACUUGAUAAGUUCUCUGGAGGUGUAGGGCGGCAAAAGGAGGUUCAUGAUCAGCUAAUGCUAUCUAGACGACCAAGGACUUGUGCAACUGAAUUUUCAUGAGCCUUUCUUGAAAUUCCAACCACAGUUUGGUCAUUUCUGAGUGUUUGUUUCCAACAUUAUCUAGAACAUGUAAGAAUUAUGGCAGGACAUCUUUUGCUUCAUGUUUUGACUUCCGUCAUCUAAUUUCAACCAUAGCUCUAGAGUUGUUUGUUUUCAACUA